AAGGCUAGACAUGGGCCGGACCGGGCUGGAAACAGUCCUUCCCUUCUGGGGCCGGUUCACAGGUGGCGCAUGGUUGUCGUCAGCUCGUGUCGUGAGAUGUUGGGUUAAGUCCCGCAACGAGCGCAACCCUCGUUCUAUGUUGCCAGCGCGUGAUGGCGGGGACUCAUAGGAGACUGCCGGGGUCAACUCGGAGGAAGGUGGGGAUGACGUAGUA
rnacentral:misc_RNA from 1 species